GACGAACGCUGGCGGCGUGCUUAACACAUGCAAGUCGAACGGAAAGGCCCUGCUUUUGUGGGGUGCUCGAGUGGCGAACGGGUCAGUAACACGUGAGUAACCUGCCCUUGACUUUGGGAUAACUUCAGGAAACUGGGGCUAAUACCGGAUAGGAGCUCCUGCUGCAUGGUGGGGGUUGGAAAGUUUCGACGGUUGGGGAUGGACUCGCGGCUUAUCAGCUUGUUGGUGGGGUAGUGGCUUACCAAGGCUUUGACGGGUAGCCGGCCUGAGAGGGUGACCGGCCACAUUGGGACUGAGAUACGGCCCAGACUCCUACGGGAGGCAGCAGUGGGGAAUAUUGCACAAUGGGCGGAAGCCUGAUGCAGCAACGCCGCGUGCGGGAUGACGGCCUUCGGGUUGUAAACCGCUUUCGCCUGUGACGAAGCGUGAGUGACGGUAAUGGGUAAAGAAGCACCGGCUAACUACGUG
rnacentral:rRNA from 1 species